rnacentral:rRNA from 1 species
UACGUAGGGGGCAAGCGUUAUCCGGAUUUACUGGGUGUAAAGGGAGCGUAGACGGCAAAGCAAGUCCGGAGUGAGAGCCCGGGGCCCAACCCCGGGACUGCUCUGGAAACUGUUAAGCUGGAGUGCGGGAGGGGCAGGCGGAAUUCCUGGUGUAGCGGUGAAAUGCGUAGAUAUCAGGAGGAACACCGGCGGCGAAGGCGGCCUGCUGGACCGUGACUGACGUUGAGGCUCGAAAGUGUGGGUAUCAAACAGG